UGGGGAAUAUUGGACAAUGGACCGAGAGUCUGAUCCAGCAAUUCUGUGUGCACGAUGAAGUUUUUCGGAAUGUAAAGUGCUUUCAGUUGGGAAGAAAGAAAUGACGGUACCAACAGAAGAAGUGACGGCUAAAUACGUGCCAGCAGCCGCGGUAAUACGUAUGUCACGAGCGUUAUCCGGAUUUAUUGGGCGUAAAGCGCGUCUAGGUGGUUAUGUAAGUCUGAUGUGAAAAUGCAGGGCUCAACUCUGUAUUGCGUUGGAAACUGUAUAACUAGAGUACUGGAGAGGUAAGCGGACUACAAGUGUAGAGGUGAAAUUCGUAGAUAUUUGUAGGAAUGCCGGUGGGGAAGCCAGCUUACUGGACAGAUACUGACGCUAAAGCGCGAAAGCGUGGGUUGCAAACAGG
rnacentral:rRNA from 1 species